rnacentral:rRNA from 1 species
ACKGCUCASUAACACGUGGCUAACCUACCCUCCCCUUUUUUACAACCCCCGGAAGCUGGGGUUAAUCCCAUAUAUACGAGAACCCCUGCAACGGGUCCUCAUCCAAAAGACACCAAGAUCUCGCUUCUUGAUGUCACUCACGGAUGGUGUACGCGUCCGAUCAGGCCUGUUGGUUGAGGCAACUUGCUCACCAAACCUAUAACCGGGACAGGCCGUGGGCACUGGAGCCCCGACAUGGAUAACUGAAACUACGCCCCUACGCCCUACGGACCUCACCACUCUCCAGAACUUGACAAUGCACGAAAGUGUGAACGGGCUACCCCGAUUGCCGUCCGCUGAUGCAUGGAUUUUCUCUGCUGUAAGGAACCGAACGAAUAAAGCGAGGGCAAGUCUGGUGUCUCCACCGCGCUAAGACCACCUCGCCGAUGGGUACGGAUGAGUAUUGGCCUUACUAUGUCCGGAUCCGUACUCUCCAGUAUCUCGAUAUAUCCAGCGAGUCACUCGAUGGACUGUUAUAGAUACUGCUAGGAUAGGAGGCGGUACAGCCUACUGUACUUUCGAGGUACGGGAAACAUCCUAUAAUCUCGGUAAGACCACUAUUGCUCUAAGCACCCGGAUACGACGCACUCUACGAUGAGGGACAAACCCUGUAGGACCUGAUCGGAUUAGAACCCGGCUAGACCCACCCAUAUACGAUGCUCGAUACGUGUAUCGAUGACCACUAGUCACCGAAGUGCCCAAGAGAAAUCGUGAAACGUGCCGCCUGAGAAGUACGGUCUCCAGGCUGAAUCGUACAGGAAUUGCUAGAGGAGCAC